UACGUAGGGGGCUAGCGUUGUCCGGAAUCAUUGGGCGUAAAGCGCGUGUAGGCGGCCCGGUAAGUCCGCUGUGAAAGUCAAAGGCUCAACCUUUGAAUGUCAGCGGAUACUGCCAGGCUAGAGUCCGGAAGAGGCGAGUGGAAUUCCUGGUGUAGCGGUGGAAUGCGCAGAUAUCAGGAGGAACACCAACGGCGAAGGCAGCUCGCUGGGACGGUACUGACGCUGAGGAGCGAAAGCGUGGGGAGCGAACAGG
rnacentral:rRNA from 1 species